CCAAUAGCGUAUAUUAAAGUUGUUGCAGUUAAAAAGCUCGUAGUUGAAUUUCGGGAUCAAUAUAUCGGUCGUGCCGUCGGUACGUACUGGUAUCAUUGGUUUCUCCUUUCUGACGAACCAUGAUGUCAUUAAUUUGGUGUUAUGGGGAGUUAGGACUGUUACUUUGAAAAAAUUAGAGUGUUUAAAGCAGGCGUUAGCUUGAAUACAUUAGCAUGGAAUAAUGAAAUAGGACGUUCGAACCUAUUUUGUUGGUUUCUAGGAUCAACGUAAUGAUUAAUAGGGAUAGUUGGGGGCAUUAGUAUUCAAUUGUCAGAGGUGAAAUUCUUGGAUUUAUUGAAGACUAACUACUGCGAAAGCAUUUGCCAAGGAUGUUUUCAUUAAUCAAGAACGAAAGUUAGGGGAUCGAAGACGAUCAGAUACCGUCGUAGUCUUAACCAUAAACUAUGCCGACUAGGGAUCGGAUGAUGUUAAUUUUUUAAUGACUCAUUCGGCGCCUUACG
rnacentral:rRNA from 1 species